rnacentral:SRP_RNA from 1 species
AGAAGUCAGGACCGCAACGAUUACCCGUCAACCUGGUCAGGUCCGGAAGGAAGCAGCCACAGCGGGAACAUUGUGUGCCGGGGUGUGGCUGGCGGG